GCAAUGCCCUUGCUCUGUUCAAGUAGUUUGCAGCAAGAAAUGCCAUUAAACCCAUAUUUCGGAUGUUGUCUUAGGCCUUGUUUGAGCUUAUAUAUUAUAUUCCUACAAAUGCUUUUUUGAAUAUAGUAUUGAUGAGAAAUGUGUGAUUAAAAAAUAAAGAAAAUUUUUGAAUUUGUGUGUAAUAUUAUUUUAUUAAAGAAUAAAGAAAAUUUUUGAAUUUGUGUGUAAUAUUAUUUUAUUAAAGAAUGUGUUUGAAAUGAUGAGAAAUCACUGUUUAAGAAUGUAAUUUUUUUUUUUCUGAAAAAAUGUAGCUCAAACAUUUAUCUGUUUCUUAUUUUAAGAUUCAUGUGAAUGCAAAGUUUUAGAACUCUC
rnacentral:lncRNA from 1 species